rnacentral:rRNA from 1 species
UACAGAGGUGGCAAGCGUUGUCCGGAUUGACUGGGCGUAAAGCGCACGCAGGCGGAUGCGCGCGUGGGGUGUGAAAUCUGGCCGCUUAACGGCCAGGCGCCAUCCCAUACGGCGCGUCUGGAGUGAUGCAGAGGUCGAUGGAAUUGCCGGUGUAGUGGUGAAAUGCGUAGAGAUCGGCAGGAACACCCAGGGGGAAACCAGUCGACUGGGCAUCUACUGACGCUGAGGUGCGAGAGCGUGGGGAGCGAACCGG